GUAGGUGGCAAGCGUUGUCCGGAAUUAUUGGGGCGUAAAGCGCGCGCAGGCGGUUCUUUAAGUCUGAUGUGAAAGCCCACGGGCUCAACCGUGGAGGGUCAUUGGAAACUGGAGAACUUGAGUACAGAAGAGGAAAGCGGAAUUCCACGUGUAGCGGUGAAAUGCGUAGAGAUGUGGAGGAACACCAGUGGCGAAGGCGGCUUUCUGGUCUGUAACUGACGCUGAGGCGCGAAAGCGUGGGGAGCAACCAGGAUUAGAUAUCCUGGUAGUCCACGCCGUAAACGAUGAGUGCUAAGUGUUAGGGGGUUUCCGCCCCUUAGUGCUGCAGCUAACGCAUUAAGCACUCCGCCUGGGGAGUACGGCCGCAAAGGCUG
rnacentral:rRNA from 1 species